AUCGGACUCCACGGGAGCCCCACCAGUGGGCUGAGAGGGCGGUGAGCGAGACCGCCGACCGUCACCACCUGAUCCGGAUAAUGCCGGCGCAGGGAAGGAGGCACGUGCCCCAA
rnacentral:ncRNA from 2 species